rnacentral:rRNA from 1 species
UAACAUCCGGAAACGGGUGCUAAUACCGCAUAGUUUUCUUUGAUCACAUGAUUGAGAAAGGAAAGACGGCCUUUGUGCUGUCGCUUAUGGAUGGACCCGCGGCGUAUUAGUUAGUUGGUGAGGUAACGGCUCACCAAGACGAUGAUACGUAGCCGACCUGAGAGGGUGAUCGGCCACAUUGGGACUGAGACACGGCCCAAACUCCUACGGGAGGCAGCAGUAGGGAAUCUUCCGCAAUGGACGAAAGUCUGACGGAGCAACGCCGCGUGAGUGAAGAAGGUUUUUUCCGGAUCGUAAAACUCUGUUGUCAGAGAAGAACAAGUUGGAGAGUAACUGCUCCAGCCUUGACGGUAUCUGACCAGAAAGCCACGGCUAACUACGUGCCAGCAGCAGC